UGGGGAAUAUUGCACAAUGGGCGCAAGCCUGAUGCAGCCAUGCCGCGUGUAUGAAGAAGGCCUUCGGGUUGUAAAGUACUUUCAGCGGGGAGGAAGGCGAUAAGGUUAAUAACCUUGUCGAUUGACGUUACCCGCAGAAGAAGCACCGGCUAACUCCGUGCCAGCAGCCGCGGUAAUACGGAGGGUGCAAGCGUUAAUCGGAAUUACUGGGCGUAAAGCGCACGCAGGCGGUCUGUCAAGUCGGAUGUGAAAUCCCCGGGCUCAACCUGGGAACUGCAUUCGAAACGGGCAGGCUAGAGUCUUGUAGAGGGGGGUAGAAUUCCAGGUGUAGCGGUGAAAUGCGUAGAGAUCUGGAGGAAUACCGGUGGCGAAGGCGGCCCCCUGGACAAAGACUGACGCUCAGGUGCGAAAGCGUGGGGAGCAAACA
rnacentral:rRNA from 1 species